UACGUAGGGUGCGAGCGUUAAUCGGAAUUACUGGGCGUAAAGCGUGCGCAGGCGGUUUUGUAAGCCAGAUGUGAAAUCCCCGGGCUUAACCUGGGAAUGGCAUUUGGGACUGCAAGGCUUGAGUGCGGCAGAGGAGACUGGAAUUCCUGGUGUAGCAGUGAAAUGCGUAGAUAUCAGGAGGAACACCGAUGGCGAAGGCAGGUCUCUGGCUGGACACUGACGCUCAUGCACGAAAGCGUGGGGAGCAAACAGG
rnacentral:rRNA from 1 species